rnacentral:rRNA from 1 species
GACGAACGCUGGCGGCGUGCUUAACACAUGCAAGUCGAGCGGUAAGGCCCUUCGGGGUACACGAGCGGCGAACGGGUGAGUAACACGUGGGUGAUCUGCCUCGCACUCUGGGAUAAGCCUGGGAAACUGGGUCUAAUACCGGAUAUGACCAUUGAUCGCAUGGUUGGUGGUGGAAAGAUUUAUCGGUGCGAGAUGGGCCCGCGGCCUAUCAGCUUGUUGGUGGGGUAAUGGCCUACCAAGGCGACGACGGGUAGCCGACCUGAGAGGGUGACCGGCCACACUGGGACUGAGACACGGCCCAGACUCCUACGGGAGGCAGCAGUGGGGAAUAUUGCACAAUGGGCGAAAGCCUGAUGCAGCGACGCCGCGUGAGGGAUGACGGCCUUCGGGUUGUAAACCUCUUUCGACAGGGACGAAGCGCGAGUGACGGUACCUGUAGAAGAAGCACCGGCCAACUACGUG